AGGUGAACCUGCGGAAGGAUCAUUAUCGAGUUUUGAACGGGUUGUCUGCUGGCUCGCAAGGGCAUGUGCACGCCUGUCUCAUCCACUCUCAACUUCUGUGCACUUUUCAUAGGCCGGCUUGUGGGUGCGUUCGCGCACUUGUAGGUGUCGGGCUUAUGCUUUAUUACAAACGAUUCAGUUUUAGAAUGUCAUACUUUGCUAUAACGCAAUUUAUAUACAACUUUCAGCAACGGAUCUCUUGGCUCUCGCAUCGAUGAAGAACGCAGCGAAAUGCGAUAAGUAAUGUGAAUUGCAGAAUUCAGUGAAUCAUCGAAUCUUUGAACGCACCUUGCGCUCCUUGGUAUUCCGAGGAGCAUGCCUGUUUGAGUCUCAUGGAAUUCUCAACCUUCGGCUUCAUUGACGAAGGCUUGGACUUGGAGGUCGUGCCGGCUCUCGUAGUCGGCUCCUCUGAAAUGCAUUAGUGCGAACGUUACCGACCGCUUCAGCGUGAUAAUUAUCUGCGUUGCUGUGGAGGGUAUUCUAGUGUUCACGCUUCUAACCGUCUUCGGACAAAUUUCUGAACUCUGAGCUCAAAUCAGGUAGGACUAC
rnacentral:rRNA from 1 species